rnacentral:rRNA from 1 species
AGCUCCAGUAGCGUAUAUUAAAGUUGUUGCAGUUAAAAAGCUCGUAGUUGGAUUUCUGGCUUGAGACGCCUGAGCCGCCAGGGUUACCUGUGUGAGUCUCGGUGUGUCUCUGCCAUCCUUCUGGAUAGCGUGUCUACCUUUUAUUAGGCCGGGCUCGUGCUCCAGAUCUUUUACUUUGAAAAAAUUAGAGUGUUUAAAGCAAGCUUGCGCUAUGAAUACAUUAGCAUGGAAUAAUAAUUUAGGACUUUGGUUCUAUUUUGUUGGUUUCUAGGACUGAAGUAAUGAUUGAUAGGGAUAGUUGGGGGUGCUAGUAUUCAGCGGCCAGAGGUGAAAUUCUUGGAUUCGCUGAAGACUAACUUAUGCGAAAGCAUUCACCAAGGAUGUCUUCUUUAAUCAAGAA